UGUGAUGCAUAGGGAUCACAAGCCAGAAAAUUUCUUGCUUUCUACCGAGGAUGAAAAUGCAAUGUUGAAAGCAACGGAUUUCGGGUUAUCCGUGUUCAUCGAAGGUAUAAAUUUCGUAAUUGUAAGAGAACAAUGGCGGAUAUGCCCGCAAAUAGCGUCUGUGGGGACGUGUUAUUUGGUGGGUGUUAUUUGUAACGGGUUGAUUUACGUUGCGAAUGCUGGAGAUUUGAGAGUGGUGUUAGGGAGAGCUGAUAGUGGUGAGGUGUUUCGGCUAUACAGUUAUCAACAUGGGGACUAGGGGAGCUAUCGAAUGAACUUAGCCGGACUCAACAUCAUCCAUCGAUGAACGAAUAUUUUUGAAUCGUCACACUAAAGAAAUUGGCAUAAUAGCCUUGAUGAAGAUAAAGACUCGGACAUGUCGGUGAAAAUUUACCACUAUCUUGAUACAACUUGCUUGUCCAGCCUCAAGUUUUUUUUUAUAUUAUAAUUAACAGCUUUAACUUGUGUUAGUAUAUGUAAUGCAGUAAUGGCCCUUUUUGGCUUUUGCAGUUGUUGUUUGUUGGCAUAAUAGUGCAUGGAUGCUCUUUUUUAGUUGUCUUAGAUUCAUAAAUUUCAACAUAUUCGAAGUCUUGAUAGCAGCGAAGUAUGAUGUGGUGGUUUGAUUGCUUUCUUAUAUAUUGGCCUGUGAUGUUUAAUCUUGGUGUAUAUUGAAUUAAAAUUGGGUGUUUUAGAUUUA